GGGAAGUUACAUAAACGAACAAGCAUAGAACCGAUUCAUAGCCGAAAUCACACAAACUCUUCAUCCGAAUCAUCUUGCUCUUCGUCCCAUAUAUCCUCGACAUCUCUCACGUUACCACGAAGCAUAUUGAGUAUGGGGCAUAUGUGCUCCCAGUUUCUCACGCGUCUCCGGAGUUCCAAGCUGGAAAUUCGACGAGGACUGCUUACGGGUAAGCUUUCUUUUGUGUAACUAAGAGCCUUCAAAACAAACUUUCCAGAUGGUUCGAUUAAAUCGACACCAAAUGUAGGUGAUAAAGGCCGCCCCAUAACUCGAACAUGAGAGACAC